AGUACAUCUUUCGUCCAUAUAGGCCUAAUUUCUCAUGUACUUGUUCAUACGCCUCUCUUACACAAAGAUUAGAUGAUUCUCAAUUUGACCGCCACAAUAUUCGGUGAAAUUUUUGAUAAUUUGUUGUACAUGGUACAUAUGAUUGUACAGCUGCAGAAAUCCAAAUGUACAACAGUACGUAAUAAUUGCUAAUGUUAAAGUAUGAACAUUUUAGUGAAAAUGGUCCUGAGUCCAAUGCAUGGUGGCUACACGAGGCUCCAUUUCACUACUGUCUCCACAAAAACGAACGGUCACAUACAGAGACGUGUAACUGUAGAUGCACACAGAGAUUGUGUAAUACCUUCACCGA